UCUCCGUAGGUGAACCUGCGGAGGGAUCAUUACAAAGUUCAUGCCCUACCGGGUAGAUCUCCCACCCCAUGUUAUUAUUACUUUGUUGCUUUGGCGGGCCGUUAGGCUCCGGCCCGACUACCGGCCCCGGCUGGUAAGCGCCCGCCAGAGGACCCAAAACCCUGAAUAUUAGUGUCGUCUGAGUACUAUAUAAUAGUUAAAACUUUCAACAACGGAUCUCUUGGUUCUG
rnacentral:misc_RNA from 1 species